UAAUAAUGCAAAUAAAGUAUGGGGAAGUAUUUAUAUCAUAUGUAAACAAUAUAUAAGGAAAAUGUACCAAAGAAAUAAGCAUAUAUACCUGAAGCAAGCUAAGGGAGGGCCAUGCAUAAAUUGUUGGCCAGGCGCAGUCGCUCACGCCUGUAAUCCCAGCACUUUGGGAGGCUGAGGCAAAAGGAUAGCUUGAGCCCAGGGUUUCAAGACCAGCUUGGGCAAUGUACUAAGACCCCGCCUCUACUUUUAAAAAUAAAUGAAUAAAUUGUGUGGCUGGGUUUUCUGAUCACUCAAGCAGUAUGUGAGUGUGUGUGUGUGCGCAUGAGCACGCACAGGGGUGAACUAGCUUGAUUUUUGAAAAAUGGACCCAUAAAUUGUUUUGCUAAAAAUAUCAGCAAGUCCUUAUUUGGGAGUAGUGAAGAGGGGCUGGGUGAAUGCUUGCCAACAUGCCGCAGGAGGAAGAUAAAUUAUCUUUUUACUUUCCACGUUUUCGAGUGAAGAGCAUAGUGAGGUGGGAAUUAGAGAUAAUAGAAUUUCAAAAGCAUAUUAAUUUUUUUCAUUAUGCUUUGCCUUGCUUGAAAAAUUAUUGCUAGCAGCUUUUAGAGUUCUAUGUAGCACAGCUCCCUCAAACAUUAAGGAGGCCAUUGGUGCAAACCGAAAAUACAAAUAAGACAGUAAGGUGAAGCCAGGGGUAAGGAUGAUAUCAAAGGAUGUGUCGUCAAGUCCUGCACAGUUGUCAGAGGUGGACUUCACACAAGGCAUUUCUCUCAUGGGCCCUCAUUAUGUGAUUUAGUCUCAACGAAACCCCUACAGUGAAUUUAGUAAUGGGUGGCCUAUGGCUUCUUUCUUUCUUUUUUAUUUUUUUAUUUUUUGUGAUGAAGUCUCGCUCUGUCGCCCAGGCUGGAGUGCAGUGGCGCUAUCUCGGCUUACUGCAACCUCCACCUCCCAGGUUCAAGCGAUUCUCCUGCCUCAGCCUCCUGAGUCCUGGGAUUACAGGCAUGUGACACCACACCCAGCUAAUUUUUAUAUUUUUAGUAGAGACAGGGUUUCACCGUGUUAGUCAGGCUGGUCUUGAACUGCUGACCUCGUGAUCUGCCCGCCUUGGCCUCCCAAAGUACUGGGAUUACCAGGUGUGAGCCACCACACCUGGCCGGUUUAUAUCUUUUUACUUUUCUUUUUUUUUUUUUUUUUUUUGAGACGGAGUCUUGCUCUGACACCCAGGCUGGAGUGCAGUGGCGCAGUCUCAGCUCACUGCAACUCUGCCUCCCAAGUUCAAGCGAUUCUCCUGCCUCAGCCUCCCAAGUAGCUGGGAUUACUCUCUCUUUCCUCCUUAGCCCCACUCCCCAUCAGUAGGAAAAAAUAAGUGACAAAUCCCUCUUAUUUCCCAUAAAGAGGCAGCAUAAAUAUUCUCUUUUUCCUUCCUUCAAGGCCUCUCACUUUUAUUACAGGUAACUUAUUAAAAUAUUUUCCUGAAAGCAGUUCUUUCCCUAAAGGAGAUUGUCUGCUAGCGCCAGAGUGUUUGAUAAAAAUUGAGUAGUAUUAGGCCAGGCUCUGUGGCUCACGCCUGUGAUCCCAGCACUUUGGGAGG
rnacentral:lncRNA from 1 species